GCUAUGCAGUUUGAUCUGAUUCUGUGGACCAUCCAUUUCCAGUUGGAAAGCUCAAUUACUUUCAACUGCCAGAAUCAAAAAACCAGACUUAACAGCGGCUUCAGCAUACAGAGCUUUAUUUCUCUCACAGAACGAGGAGACCGGAAGUGGGCGGUCCGGCCCGAGUCAUGCAAGACUCAGGUUUUCCUUUCUGCUCCACCAACCUUACCAUGUUGGAUUUCUUCCUUGUGCUUGUUGCCUCAUGGUGGCAAGGUAGCUGCAGCACCUCUGGACUCAUUUUUAAGGAUCUGCUUCCCUGGGAAUUCAACCUAUGACUAUUGGUAUCAGCAGUGGUUGAAGAAAGAAGGUGCUAAGAUAAGAUUUUGGAAUUAGAUCACCCAUCAUCCAGCUGACAGUAAGGACCCUGCCUUACCUAGUAAGAGAAAAACCAAACACAGAUAAAACUGAGAUCAUCUUCACUCCCUCUCUCCUUCCCUGGAGAGAAAAAGAGUAUGGAUUUCUCUCUAUACUGCUCAACAUGGCAAAAGACCCUGAGUUACUGGAAUUAAUGGGAAGACUGGAGCAGCUCUGGAUAAGACACCAGUGAGGAAACUUCACCUCUGAGCAGCCCAGACCUUCUCACGAGGCUUCUUACUGCUCCCAGAUCCUCCUUCUGAAGAAAUCACCAGCCUCCGGUGGGGUCACAAGGCUUUAGUAACCAGGAACUAAACAGCAUGGAAAUGUGAUGAAUCGCAUGGAGGCAAAACAGGACCACAGCAGUACCUGCUGUUAUCAAAGCCAGAUCAAAGUGCUGCCUGCUUGGUCGUCUUUCAGUUACCCAGGCUACUGCAGCUGCCAACGUUCUUGCCAAAGCUCUGCUUCACCAGCACCCUGAUCCAAAAAGCCCCGCGUUAGCGAGAGAAGGCUUUGCCAGCGCAGAGCAGCUGUAAGGCUUCCCAACACCAAGACAGCGUGCAGGAGUUCAGCGCAGGAGCUUCAAAGCAGCUCUCUCCCAGGAGACCCCUUGGCCUCCGCAUCCGGACAGAAAAGAAGCAGUGACGCCGGCCACCUGGAACUGCACCAGAAAAUGAUGCAGUGGCCACCAGCAGCCACUUGCCCUGACUGCCCACCCACCCCAGGAAGCGAGGAGGCUUUUUAAAGGCCUGUUUGUGCUGGUAGUGGGAGCUGCCGGGUAAGGGUGAGCUUCACGGCCAUUUCCGUCCAGGCUUCCUUAGAGCUGAGCCCGAGCCUCCCAGCUGAGCUUAGCUGGGAGGUGGGCCAGGGGCUCUCAAGGGGACACUGGGAAGCCCUCCAGGCACCACGCCAGUGCCUGUGCGCACCUCCUUGCACUUCCAAAGUAGCUGUCCUGCCUCUGCCCAGCCUGAGACCUGUUGGUCUCCUCCUGCUUGGAGCCAGAGGUAGCUCACUCCUGAAGGAUGCCCCGUGUUUCGAGGCUCUCUUUGACUCUUGCCGUAGUGAGCCAGCCUCUGAAACCCCAGUCGCCUCGGGGGCCUGGCCUUGUGGGAGCCACCAGCAGGCCAUCUACUCAGCCUCCAACGUUGCAGCCUCAGGGGAAGAAGGACCAGGUGCAGUUCGCGAGGGGGUUAUGAAACCUGAGAAGAAGCUGGAGUGGCUUUGGGCUGGUCCUUUGAGAACAGGCAGGUAUUGUGUGGUUGGGUACAGAGGGGGUAUAGAAUACCCAUACAAACACAUACAAACACCAUCCCAGCCUUGAGCGGGGAGGGAGCAAGGGCCUUCCAGGAGCCUGGGUGAUCUCCAACCAGAAUGGAAGAAGGAAGGCUGUGUCCAUGAGGAGGUUGGUGACCCACACCCAGAAGAAAGCAGGCCCAGACGCCAAGACGGACAUGUUUCCCAGCCCUCACCCCAAUGCACACAACAAUUCCAUAGAUCUCAGAACAUAUGCCUGAGACACCUCUGGGGAUACGGAAAUUCCAUCGGUCAGUGAUCAAAGAAUGUUUUCCUAAAAUCCUUUGGUGGGCAUUAGUUUCUCCACAUGUCAUCAUGCUGGCUAUCAGCAAAUAAUUACUGUCUGUGUGGUCAAAGGUCAGUGCCUGCCCUCCCAGCCCCUGCAUCCUGAAGACAGACUGCAAAGGGCAGCAAAGCUUAGCUGGAUCUUGAGCAACCAGACACAGCUGGCUUGCAACUGGUCAAACACAGGAGACACAGGACACCUCACCUUUGUGCUGAAGUCAAAGCUUUGCAUGUUUUACCAUUUUUCUCUUUCACAGUGGCUGGAAGGCUGGGAAAGGUGAGAAGGGAAUAAGAGCAGGAGAGAAAUUGGGUGAGAGCACAAUGGCGUGUGGAGAGAGUGAUAACAGAGUGAGAGGUAGUGGGCCUGGGGGAGGGAGCUGUGGGAGGGCGGCUCCCAGGUCUGAGUGGGGAAGGAGAUGGGCAGACACCUAAUCAAGUCAUUGUUUCCCCUGGGGCUGGGCUUAUCUUCUCCAUCUGUCCUCCCACAGUCAGCCAGUGCUCUGGACUUGGUAGGUUUCCCUUUCUCCCUUUCCUUACUGUGAUGAAGGCUGUAGUUAUCAAUGUCCUGGUUCCUGCAGCCCCAGGCAGCCACACGAAGAUCCCAGGUCAGUCCCUCACCCUGUGGCCUCUAAAAAAGAUAAAAUCCAGGCAGAGGGGGUGGGAGGACCUUCCUCACCGUGUUUCCAGUCAUCAGUGGCCACUCCAAUGCCCUCUUUCCCAACUGGUCAUCUCUGCCGCUAAGGUCACCGUAUUCUGAGUACCCCAGCCUCCCCCUGGAGAAGGGCUGCACCUGCUCCUUAAAAGUUUGUCUCUGUGCCUUCGCUUACACCUUCUCUGUAACCUAAAGCCUGCCCAUUCCAUCUGUCAUAAUCUGACCUUUAUUUUUAAAAUCCAGCUCCUCUGUGCAGCUUUUCCUGAUUCCCAUUCCCAAUUAACCUGUCCCUUCUCUGCUCAGAAUUUUGUGACUUGAAUGUAAACACUACUUAUUAAAGCCAGUAGUGCUUACAGCUGUGGCCUUCUUCAUGCUGUGUCCACACCCCCACUCACAAAACUCUAGCGAGUACCAGGUAGACACUUAGGACGUGUUGAUUGACUUGUUGGACGGAAUGACUGAGGACAUGACAGCUGUGAUCAAUCAAGAGUCCACAGUCACCAUUUCCCAGGCCACCCGGACAGUUUCCACAGCAGAGCCUGCUGCAGAGUGGAGACGUGCUCCGAUUAUUUAUUUAUGCAGUUAUUAGUGUUAAUUUUAUUGUUAGUAUUAUUGAUAUUCUUUUCUUGUCAUUUCACAGAGCAUCCUUGAUCAAACAUUCUGCUUUCUUUGGCAACUGCACCUCCCUUCCCUCUACCAAACUGACUCAUUUUCCUCUUCCUUAA